CUGCUGCUGACAAUGCAAUCUGGCAAGUAGUGUUUCAUCUCGCACAAAAUAAAAAGAAAGAGAUGACUGUUGCUCAGGCCAUGUUGAGUGGUUAUGGAAUAAACACUACCCCAACCAGAAUCAUGUUAAGAGCUGCCUACAAUGCAACAGAAACUCAGCCUCAACUGAUCCAAACUGUACCAAUGGCAGUCCUAAGGUCAACUACCUUCUAUAAGCAAAGAUGGAUGGUCUUGAUGGUGGACACUGCAAUUGCAUGCCCUACUGAUGGUACGUCAUUCACAGAUUGUAUGGAGAGUUCCCCGUGUCAUACCUCCCCUUGUUCCUACAACACCACUUACUAGCCUCAAUGUUCAAAUGGGAAUUGAUGGGCGCAAGCUUGACCCGCCAACAGUUAAUAAUAGAAGAUAUGUCCUGGAUGUGGGUCCUGAGCUAAUCACAAUAAAAAUUCCAGUGGGUGCAGAUGGUGGAUAUUAUAAGAGCAAUGUCUUGAACAACACCUAGGCAAUUUCUUAUUCUAUUGCUCCAAUGCUGGAGCAUACCUGGCAGGAUGUGGAUGAGAAGACAAAGCACACGAUACUUCAUCCAAUAACCACUCCUUUGAUGCCUAGGCCACCUUUUCUCAUAAACGACACUGUUACUAAAGACCGAGUGUUCAAUGUGACCCUGGGGAUAUUCCUGCCUGAUGUGGAUCUUGUAGACAUUACAUUUGGACUUGAGACUUUGAC